rnacentral:rRNA from 1 species
CGGAGGGUGCAAGCGUUAUCCGGAUUCACUGGGUUUAAAGGGUGCGUAGGUGGGUUGGUAAGUCAGUGGUGAAAUCCCCGAGCUUAACUUGGGAACUGCCAUUGAUACUAUCAGUCUUGAAUAUUGUGGAGGUCAGCGGAAUAUGUCAUGUAGCGGUGAAAUGCUUAGAUAUGACAUAGAACACCAAUUGCGAAGGCAGCUGGCUACGCAUAUAUUGACACUGAGGCACGAAAGCGUGGGGAUCAAACAGGAUUAGAUACCCUGGCAGUCCACGCCCUAAACUAUGGAUACUCGACAUACGCGAUACACUGUGUGUGUCUGAGCGAAAGCAUUAAGUAUCCCACCUGGGAAGUACGAUCGCAAGAUUG